CACGUAGGGCGCAAGCGUUGUCCGGAAUCACUGGGCGUAAAGCGCACGUAGGCGGAUGUGUCAGUCAGGGGUGAAAUCCCGGAGCUCAACUUCGGAACUGCCUUUGAUACAGCACGUCUUGAGUCCGAUAGAGGUGGGUGGAAUUCCUAGUGUAGAGGUGAAAUUCGUAGAUAUCGGGAGGAACACCGGUGGCGAAGGCGGCGAUCUGGGUAGAUACGUGAC
rnacentral:rRNA from 1 species